AGGGCCGGCCCUUCCCCCACCCAGCACCACGCCGGGCAGAGGCUCCCGACCACCUCGCCGGCCCUCAGCGCCUCGGUUUCCCGCUCCGGGGGCUGCGCAUGGGCUCGGGGGGUAGGGGGGACGUCCGAGGCGGCCGGCCACCGGAGACAACGCGCCGCCUCUCGGCUCUCCUGACUCGACUCCUGCAGGGGCGAUAGCGCCUCGGAGCCCCUCCUCUCCCCCCAUUAUGUUCCAAGGCCUCCGAGCCUUCCCCAACUCCUCCACGCUAUCUCCUCAAGGCCGCGCACGCCCCACGCUGCCUCACCGCGGGUCCUCGAACUCAACGAAGGCGAAGGGCGGUCCCCCGCGGCGGUUCUUCAGGUCGAUGUCGCGGAUGGCGCCGUAUUUGUAAAACACGUCCUCGAUGUCCUUGGUUCGGAUAUCCGGAGGUACCUCAGAAUCCUUCCACUCAUCUGUUAUCAGCUGGGAGCUGGUGACCUUCUGGAGUCAGCCUCUGUUGGAGGCAGAUGCAUUGUUCCGGUGGCUGCAGAUGGGGAGUCCUUCAGGCUCAAAAGUAGAAAUCUCUGGUAGAUUUUUUUGGCUUUGAGACAAGCAAGUGGACGCAGAGGAUCUCUUGCAGGGAGAGGUGGUGUUACCCGCUGCGUGGUGGCCAUAUGUGGUCAUUCAUAGUUCUCUACCACAAGUCUCCCGGUGUAUGUCACUUAUUUUCACGUAGCCUAUAACAAAUGUUAAGCCAUCAGACUCUCAGAAUAAAGAGCAAAUACGUAGAAUGAGAA
rnacentral:lncRNA from 1 species